AGAAAGGAAGCUGCGCUGCGGUCCGCUGGGCGAACCCUGCUCCGCGCGAGAAUUUUUUUGAUGCCUUCUUAUUUGGAGAAAUCUCCAGCUGCUCUGAUGAUAGCCUAAGAAGACUGCAUGCUGCUUCCUCUCGAUGCCAAGCCAGGCCCUCUCACAACUUCGGAUCUCAGUCCUUCAUGGAGACCUGGUCCCAGCAGGAAUGGCAGUGCAGGAAAUUGGCGCCCAGAUGGUUCUUCCAUGUGAAGUUGUCUCGGGCUCUGGGCUGACAAGAGAACACCUGGUAACCAGGUUAGCCCUCUGUCAGCCACCCAGGGCAGGGCAGCAUGGUACGGAUUCAGAGGAGGAAGCUUUUGGCAUCUUGCCUGUGCGUCACAGCUACCGUCUUUCUGCUUGUCACACUCCAGGUCAUGGUUGAGCUGGGGAAGUUUGAAAGGAAGGAGUUGAAAAGUUCCAGUUUGCAAGAUAGACAUACAAAAAUGGAGGAAGCACCUACACAUCUUAAUUCAUUUCUUAAGAAAGAAGGAUUGACCUUCAACAGGAAAAGAAAAUGGGAAUUGGAUAGCUACCCCAUUAUGCUCUGGUGGUCCCCGCUGACGGGGGAGACUGGGAGGUUAGGCCAAUGUGGAGCAGAUGCUUGUUUCUUCACCAUCAACCGGACCUACCUGCAUCAUCACAUGACCAAAGCAUUCCUCUUCUAUGGUAAGCAGGGCUUUCGCCUCUCUCCCUUGUUUGCUGUGGUCUUCCUCCAAAGCUGAGUUACAGUUUACCUCUGAAAAGUGAUGGUGGAGCUCCCCUUGAAAACACUUUGACACCCCUGAUUUCCUUUGCAUUUGCUCUGUGGAAGGCCUGAGCAUUUAGCAGAUACAAAAAAGAAACAAGCCUGGCUGGGCGUGGUGGCUUCUGAAUUCUCUAACACGUAUAUCUCUGAAGGGUUGGAUAAGGGAUUAUGAUCUUCUAGUUGUGCUUUGAGAUGAAGCAAAGUUAAAUGUUGAGUUUAAUUUCCCAAAUUGUAACAGAAGCUUCUAGAAAGAUUUCCGUUACAUUCACAAAAAAUAUAGAUAAUAUAAUGGGCAUUUAUGUACCUAUCACAUAGCUUAAGGCAUAAAAUACUACACGUAUAAUUGAAAAUCUGUAUGAGCCCCUCCCUGACCAAUCCCAUUUCCCUCCCUGAUACUCUAGAGGGAAUCAUGAUGUGUGUGUGUGUGUGUGUUUGUGUAACAAUCUAAGUAUGUUAUUUAGACAUAUAGGAGUUAUAUAUACAUGUGUGUUAAAGUUUUUUAAAUGUUAAAACUUUUAAAAAAGUUUUUUAAAUGUUUAAAUGUUUUAAAUGUUGACAGUGGUACAACCACUUUAGAUAUUGGUUUGGCAAUAUCUAGUAAAUGUGAAUUCAUACUUAGUAAUUCCACUGCUAAAUUUAUAACCGCAUGAAAUCUCACAUAUAGACAUGGAUUGUUCAUUAUAGCAUUGUUCAUCGUAAGUAAAGCUUUUAAAGUAACCUAAAUGUCCAAUAACAGAAAAAUGAUUAAAUGUAGUGUAAUAUAUAAAUUCAGUGGAAUACUAUGCAAUGAUGAAAAUGAACUAGAGCUGUGAGCAUGUAACUUUGAUAAACCUCAAAACUAAGUUACAGAUAGAAAGUUACAUAUAACACUACUCUACAUUGUUUAUGUUAUUGUUAGAAAUCUGUAGUAGAAAUUUAUUUAAAAAUAUGUGAUGCUACUCUAGGGAAAACAAGUUGUACACACAUAUACAUACAUAAACACAUGCCUACACAUACACACACACAUAUAUAUAUACACACACACAUAUAUAUAUACACACACAUAUAUAUAUACAUAUACAUACACUAUAUACAUGCAUAUAUACACACAUAUAUACUGAUAUGGUUUGGCUGUGUCCCCACCCAAAAUCUCAUCUUGAAUUGUAAUCCCCAUAAUCCCCAUGUGUCAAGGGUGGGACCAGGUGGAGGUAACUGGAUCAUGGGGUGGUUCCCGCAUGCUGUUCUCAUGAUAGUGAGUGAGUCUAAUGAGAUCUGAUGGUUUUAUAAGCGUCUGGCAUUUCCCCUGCUGGCACUCACUCCAUCCUGCUGCCCUGUGAAGAAAGUGCCUGUUUCUCCUUUGCCUUCUGCCAUGAUUGUAAAUUUCCUGAGGCCUCCCAAGCAAUGUAGAACUGUGAGUCAAUUAAACCUCUUUCCUUUAU
rnacentral:sRNA from 1 species